UACGUAGGGUGCGAGCGUUAUUCGGAUUCACUGGGCGUAAAGGGUGCGCAGGCGGCUAGGUGUGUGAGGCGUGAAAGCCUGGGGCUUAACCCCAGAAUUGCACCUCAAACUACUUGGCUAGAGCAUUGGAGAGGGUAGCAGAAUUCAUGGUGUAGCAGUGAAAUGCGUAGAUAUCAUGAGGAAUACCAGAGGCGAAGGCGGCUACCUGGACAAUUGCUGACGCUCAGGCACGAAAGCGUGGGGAGCAAAAGGG
rnacentral:rRNA from 1 species